CCCACAUACACCUCCCUCUACUGCCAAAAGAUAAUCCAAGGCUAAUCUAUUUUGGUAAACUGCUGUCCUCAUCCUGGUAUUAUGCUUCGCUAGAAGAUUGAGCGCUUGUGAUGUCUCGUUAGUAAUGAUCUCAACCACCGCCUGUAACCUUAUAAUGCGGUUGAGCAUAUAAAUAGGGGUUCUAUAACCAAAGGUACACAUGCCCCUUCCCAGUUCUGUGGUAACUCCGAAUAGGC